UACGAAGGGUGCAAACGUUGCUCGGAAUCAUUGGGCGUAAAGCGCACGUAGGCGGCCUUGUAAGUCGGAUGUGAAAUCCCACGGCUCAACCGUGGACGUGCAUUCGAAACUGCUCGGCUCGAGUAUGGAAGAGGGUCGCGGAAUUCCCGGUGUAGAGGUGAAAUGCGUAGAUAUCUGCAGGAACACCCGUGGCGAAAGCGGCGCGCUGGACCACUACUGACGCUGAGGAACUAAAGCUAGGGGAGCAAACAGG
rnacentral:rRNA from 1 species